rnacentral:rRNA from 1 species
UGGGGAAUAUUGCACAAUGGGCGGAAGCCUGAUGCAGCGACGCCGCGUGGGGGAUGAAGGCCUUCGGGUUGUAAACUCCUUUCGACAGGGACGAAGCUUAUGUGACGGUACCUGUAUAAGAAGCACCGGCUAACUACGUGCCAGCAGCCGCGGUAAUACGUAGGGUGCGAGCGUUGUCCGGAAUUACUGGGCGUAAAGAGCUCGUAGGUGGUUUGUCGCGUCGUCUGUGAAAUUCCGGGGCUUAACUCCGGGCGUGCAGGCGAUACGGGCUGACUUGAGUGCUGUAGGGGAGACUGGAAUUCCUGGUGUAGCGGUGAAAUGCGCAGAUAUCAGGAGGAACACCGAUGGCGAAGGCAGGUCUCUGGGCAGUAACUGACGCUGAGGAGCGAAAGCAUGGGUAGCGAACAGGAUUAGAUACCCUGGUAGUCCAUGCCGUAAACGGUGGGCGCUAGGUGUAGGGGGCUUCCACGUCUUCUGUGCCGUAGCUAACGCAUUAAGCGCCCCGCCUGGGGAGUACGGCCGCAAGGCUA